UUGAAACUUCAUCAAAUUGAUGAUGCAGAAUUAAUUUUGUCACAUGCUCCGAAAUCGGAUCCACAAAUUAAUCAUUCACCUUUUGAAGCAAUAUAUUUUGGGAUGUUUGCUGAAGCUUAUUCCUUCUAUGUCAGAACACAGAUUCAGAUCGCAUUCGGAAGGUUUGAGAAUGCGGUUACAUCUGUAGAGAAGGCAAAUCAUAUUGAUCUCCAAAAUAUUGAAAUUGCUGGAAAAUGAUUUUAUAUUUUUUUCUUUUGCAUUUAAACGUGUGCAAACCAUGAUUUAAAUAUGUACAAGGCAUGUUUUUACCAGUUACUUUUAUGUCAUGUUUUUCUUAUGUACUCAACAUUUAUUGUUUAGGGUUGUUGAAUCUGAUGAAGUUUCUGUUUGGUUUUGCAGUUUUGUAACGAGUAUGUUGUUCCAAGGUAUAUAAUGGGUAUUGUUAAGAAAGUCACUGCUGGAAAAUGAUUUUAUAUUUUUUUCUUUUGCAUUUAAACGUGUGCAAACCAUGAUUUAAAUAUGUACAAGGCAUGUUUUUACCAGUUACUUUUAUGUCAUGUUUUUCUUAUGUACUCAACAUUUAUUGUUUAGGGUUGUUGAAUCUGAUGAAGUUUCUGUUUGGUUUUGCAGUUUUGUAACGAGUAUGUUGUUCCAAGGGUUCAAGAGGGAACUUUAUGUUGUUUUUUUAAGAAACAUCAUUUGACAGAAAAAUGGUGGAAAAGGAUAGUUAGCCUUGAAAUGCACUCAAUUCUUCCUAUUUAUUUCACUCAAUUCUUCCUACUUUGAGGGAUAUUUAUUGUUAGUUUGAU